UUUCCGUAGGUGAACCUGCGGAAGGAUCAUUACAGUUGUCCCUCGGGUUGCCGCAUUCCCUUCCGUGUAACCAUCCAACUUUUUUUUAUUACACUUUGUUGCUUGGGCAGGCCUGCCCUCGGGCUGUUGGCUCCGGCCGGUGAGUUCAUGCCAGAGUACCUAAACUCUGUUUGUCUAAACUGUCUGAAUACCCUAUAAUAUUUACAACUUUCAACAACGGAUCUCUUGGUUCUG
rnacentral:misc_RNA from 1 species